AUUGAACGCUGGCGGCAUGCCUUACACAUGCAAGUCGAACGGCAGCACGGGUGCUUGCACCUGGUGGCGAGUGGCGAACGGGUGAGUAAUACAUCGGAACAUGUCCUGUAGUGGGGGAUAGCCCGGCGAAAGCCGGAUUAAUACCGCAUACGAUCUACGGAUGAAAGCGGGGGACCUUCGGGCCUCGCGCUAUAGGGUUGGCCGAUGGCUGGUUAGCUAGUUAGUGGGGUAAAGGCCUACCAAGGCGACGAUCAGUAGCUGGUCUGAGAGGACGACCAGCCACACUGGGACUGAGACACGGCCCAGACUCCUACGGGAGGCAGCAGUGGGGAAUUUUGGACAAUGGGCGAAAGCCUGAUCCAGCAAUGCCGCGUGUGUGAAGAAGGCCUUCGGGUUGUAAAGCACUUUUGUCCGGAAAGAAAUCCUUGGCCCUAAUACGGUCGGGGGAUGACGGUACCGGAAGAAUAAGCACCGGCUAACUACGUG
rnacentral:rRNA from 1 species